CAGAAAAUAGUCUAGGUCAAGUUGUAUUUUUUUGGCUUCUCCUAUUGAUUACCGUCUGAUCGAUAGCCUUAAGUCCAAGUGUCUAGCUCUAUUAGCGGCUCGAUCCGCGCUUUCCGCCACUAAGCCUCGAGGACUUUGCUCCUCGUACGCCUUGAUUAAUAGUCGCCAGUUUUCAAAGCUGACUAAAGAUUCCAAAUUGCCAAAGUUUAAAUCUGAAUCUAAAAGUUCUCAGGCUGCAGUUUCUGAUUCCAUUACCGAGAUAGAAGAAAAGUUAGAUGGAAGGUCUGUGACCAUCUAUCUUUUUUCUCAACGCCAUGUAAUAAUAAUGAUUUUGAUUUAUCCAUUCGGAAACUAAGACCUCACAUUUGGGAGGGGACUAUUUUUACCCAAAGCUAGAGAUCGCCCGCCGGGUUCAAGUGAGAGAGUUGGGAGGGUGCAAUAUAAAAUGUUCGGGUCCCUGGCCUCAGGUGAUGUACGGGUGUAGGUUAAGAGCUUUUAGUAAAAAAAAAAAAAAAAAACUAAGACCUCUCAUCUCGAGGGCAAUUUUUGAAGAGUUUCAGAAGAAGUUUAAAGAGGUAUAUAGCUCGUUUCUUACACUCUUCCCCUUGAAACUGCAUAAUGUGUUUUUUUGGUGUUUCAGCGUUCUGAUACUACUGCUGCUGAAUUUGAAACUGCUAGAAGACAGUUUGCCAUAUUCGUUGUACCUUUACUCUACUUGGCGUCAUUUGCUACAUCCGCCAUCAUUUUGCACGAGCUUGACUUAAUGGACGCCAGUCGCCAGACAUGCUCAGAAGAAGCUCUCUGCUCCAAACCAAAUCAAGUGUACAUGCAUGUGUUCAACCAGAUCACGUUAAGACCAGUUUAACUCUAGCAACAGAGAGUUACUCGUUCGUUCCAAUGUUAGAGUCACCUUAAUUAACAAUUAAUAAGGCUUGUUUUUUUUUUUUUUGGUUUGGCGAUAUAGAACAUUUCAAAGUUGAAAAAGUAGCCAACAUCAUUGUGGGUGCAAGGUUAUUACGUACAAAAUGAAGAAUAAGUCGUUUUUGUUUUCUU